rnacentral:rRNA from 1 species
GACGAACGCUGGCGGCGUGCUUAACACAUGCAAGUCGAACGCUGAAGCUUGGUGCUUGCACUGGGUGGAUGAGUGGCGAACGGGUGAGUAAUACGUGAGUAACCUGCCCUUGACUCUGGGAUAAGCCUGGGAAACUGGGUCUAAUACUGGAUACGACAUGUCACCGCAUGGUGGUGUGUGGAAAGGGUUUUACUGGUUUUGGAUGGGCUCACGGCCUAUCAGCUUGUUGGUGGGGUAAUGGCUCACCAAGGCGACGACGGGUAGCCGGCCUGAGAGGGUGACCGGCCACACUGGGACUGAGACACGGCCCAGACUCCUACGGGAGGCAGCAGUGGGGAAUAUUGCACAAUGGGCGGAAGCCUGAUGCAGCGACGCCGCGUGAGGGAUGACGGCCUUCGGGUUGUAAACCUCUUUCAGCACGGAAGUAGCGAAAGUGACGGUACGUGCAGAAGAAGCGCCGGCUAACUACGUG